GCAGCAGUGGGGAAUUUUGGCCAAUGGGGGCAACCCUGAUCCAGCAAUGCCGCGUGAGUGAAGAAGGCCUUCGGGUUGUAAAGCUCUUUUGUCAGGGAAGAAACACCGGCUCUAACACAGUCCGGGAAUGACGGUACCUGAAGAAUAAGCACCGGCUAACUACGUGCCAGCAGCCGCGGUAAUACGUAGGGUGCAAGCGUUAAUCGGAAUUACUGGGCGUAAAGCGUGCGCAGGCGGUUAUACAAGACAGGCGUGAAAUCCCCGGGCUUAACCUGGGAAUGGCGCCUGUGACUGUAUAGCUAGAGUGUGUCAGAGGGGGGUAGAAUUCCACGUGUAGCAGUGAAAUGCGUAGAUAUGUGGAGGAAUACCAAUGGCGAAGGCAGCCCCCUGGGAUAACACUGACGCUCAUGCACKAAAGCGUGGGGAGCAAACAGGAUUAGAUACCCCUGGUAGA
rnacentral:rRNA from 1 species